GGACGAACGCUGGCGGCGUGCUUAACACAUGCAAGUCGAGCGGUAAGGCCCUUUCGGGGGUACGACGAGCGGCGAACGGGUGAGUAACACGUGGGUGACCUGCCCUCAGCUCUGGGAUAAGCCUGGGAAACCGGGUCUAAUACCGGAUAUGACUCCAUGACGCAUGUUGUGGGGUGGAAAGCCUUGUGCGGCUGAGGAUGGGCCCGCGGCCUAUCAGCUUGUUGGUGGGGUGAUGGCCUACCAAGGCGACGACGGGUAGCCGGCCUGAGAGGGCGGCCGGCCACACUGGGACUGAGACACGGCCCAGACUCCUACGGGAGGCAGCAGUGGGGAAUCUUGCGCAAUGGGCGAAAGCCUGACGCAGCGACGCCGCGUGAGGGAUGACGGCC
rnacentral:rRNA from 1 species